rnacentral:rRNA from 1 species
UACGAAGGGGGCUAGCGUUGUUCGGAUUUACUGGGCGUAAAGCGCACGUAGGCGGCUCGUUAAGUCGGGGGUGAAAUCCUGGAGCUCAACUCCAGAACUGCCCUCGAUACUGACGAGCUCGAGUCCGGGAGAGGUGAGUGGAACUGCGAGUGUAGAGGUGAAAUUCGUAGAUAUUCGCAAGAACACCAGUGGCGAAGGCGGCUCACUGGCCCGGUACUGACGCUGAGGUGCGAAAGCGUGGGGAGCAAACAGG